rnacentral:rRNA from 1 species
GUCUCUUCGGGGAUGAUUAAACCGGCGCACGGGUGAGUAACACGUGAGUGACCUGCCUUUUAGACUGGAACAACUUACCGAAAGGUGAGCUAAUGCCGGAUGAGUUAUAUAAGUGCAUGUUUAUAUAGGAAAAGUUGGGGAGACCUGACGCUGAAAGAUGGACUCGCGUCCCAUUAGCUAGUUGGUAGGGUAAUGGCCUACCAAGGCGACGAUGGGUAGCCGGCCUGAGAGGGUGGCCGGCCACACUGGGACUGAGACACGGCCCAGACUCCUACGGGAGGCAGCAGUGGGGAAUUUUGCGCAAUGCUCGUAAGAGUGACGCAGCGACGCCGCGUGAAUGACGAAGGCCUUCGGGUCGUAAAGUUCUUUCGACAGGGAAGAAAAUGCCUAUAAGUAACUGUGUAUGUAUUGACGGUACCUGUAUAAGCAGCCCCGGCUAACUCCGUGCCAGCAGCCGCGGUAAUACGGAGGGGGCGAGCGUUGUUCGGAGUGACUGGGCGUAAAGAGCACGUAGGCGGUGUUGUAAGUCAUUAGUCAAAGACUAGAGCUCAACUUUAGUAAGGCUAGUGAUACUAUAAUACUAGAGUAUCAGAGAGGAUUGCAGAAUUCCUGGUGUAGCGGUGAAAUGCGUAGAUAUCAGGAGGAAUACCGUUAGCGAAGGCGGCAAUCUGGCUGGAAACUGACGCUGAGGUGCGAAAGCGUGNGUAGC